rnacentral:rRNA from 1 species
AUUGAACGCUGGCGGCAGGCUUAACACAUGCAAGUCGAGCGGGGUGAUGGUGCUUGCACUAUCACUUAGCGGCGGACGGGUGAGUAAUGCUUAGGAAUCUGCCUAUUAGUGGGGGACAACAUCUCGAAAGGGAUGCUAAUACCGCAUACGUCCUACGGGAGAAAGCAGGGGAUCACUUGUGACCUUGCGCUAAUAGAUGAGCCUAAGUCGGAUUAGCUAGUUGGUGGGGUAAAGGCCUACCAAGGCGACGAUCUGUAGCGGGUCUGAGAGGAGGAUCCGCCACACGGGGGCUGAGACACGGCCCAGACUCCUACGGGAGGCAGCAGUGGGGAAUAUUGGACAAUGGGGGGAACCCUGAUCCAGCCAUGCCGCGUGUGUGAAGAAGGCCUUAUGGUUGUAAAGCACUUUAAGCGAGGAGGAGGCUCUUUUGGUUAAUACCCAAGAUGAGUGGACGUUACUCGCAGAAUAAGCACCGGCUAACUCUGUGCCAGCCGCCGCGGUAAGAC